rnacentral:rRNA from 1 species
CAGCAGCCGCGGGAAUACGAAGGGGGCUAGCGUUGCUCGGAAUGACUGGGCGUAAAGGGCGCGUAGGCGGCGAUCAAAGUCAGGCGUGAAAUUCCCGGGCUCAACCUGGGGGCUGCGUUUGAUACUUGGUUGCUUGAGUGGGGAAGAGGGUCGUGGAAUUCCCAGUGUAGAGGUGAAAUUCGUAGAUAUUGGGAAGAACACCGGUGGCGAAGGCGGCGACCUGGUCCUUUACUGACGCUGAGGCGCGAAAGCGUGGGGAGCAAACAGGAUUAGAUACCCCCGUAGUCCCUGUCUCUUAUAC